GUUUUUAUUCUGAUACAGGUGGCAAAUUUACCAAGGAAAACAUCCGCCAGAGAGCAGAGAAAAAGGAUAAUCCUGAACUAAUUUAUGCUCCUCAUUUGAAACAUUGAUGCCUGGUAUUGAGAGUAAAGCAAGGAAGCUGGUAAAAUUUGGGGACUACUGGUAUCUUUGAUAUAUUUCUAGCAACGCCUUUCAUGAGAAUUUUAGUUCUUUGUGAAUUUGAAAAUAGAGGUGAUAAACCAGGUGCAGUUUUUGUGAAGCAAAUGAGUCUUAUUGACAGAUCUGGUUCAGAUGAUCUGAUAGAUGAUUUAGAUUCACAAAGAAUUUGCAGAUGCCACUUGGAUUUUCCAUUGCAGUUACUGGUAACUGAUUUUUAAUUCUUUGUUGCUGUUUGAGAGUGAUAGUUUUAUUUGUUUCACUUUUUAAAUAAAACUGAGCUGUUUAUAUCUUUG
rnacentral:lncRNA from 1 species